UUGUCUCAAAGAUUAAGCCAUGCAUGUCUCAGUACAAGCCAAAUUAAGGUGAAACCGCGAAAGGCUCAUUAAAUCAGUUAUGGUUCCUUAGAUCGUACCCAUAUUUACUUGGAUAACUGUGGUAAUUCUAGAGCUAAUACAUGCAAACAGAGCUCCGACCGGAGACGGAAGGAGCGCUUUUAUUAGAACAAAACCAAUCGGUGGCGAUUUCGGUCGUCAUCGUACAAUUUGGUGAAUCUGAAUAACUUUGUGCUGAUCGCACGGUCUUGCACCGGCGACGCAUCUUUCAAAUGUCUGCCUUAUCAACUGUCGAUGGUAGGUUCUGCGCCUACCAUGGUUGUAACGGGUAACGGGGAAUCAGGGUUCGAUUCCGGAGAGGGAGCCUGAGAAACGGCUACCACAUCCAAGGAAGGCAGCAGGCGCGCAAAUUACCCACUCCCGGCACGGGGAGGUAGUGACGAAAAAUAACGAUACGGGACUCAUCCGAGGCCCCGUAAUCGGAAUGAGUACACUCUAAACCCUUUAACGAGGAUCAAUUGGAGGGCAAGUCUGGUGCCAGCAGCCGCGGUAAUUCCAGCUCCAAUAGCGUAUAUUAAAGUUGUUGCGGUUAAAAAGCUCGUAGUCGAAUCUGUGUCCCGUGCCGCCGGUUCAUCGUUCGCGGUGUCAACUGGCGUGUGGCGGGACGUCCUGUCGGUGGGCUUAGCUCGCGAGGGCGGCCCAAGUUUAAUUUCCCGCCGCGGUGCUCUUCAUUGAGUGUCGAGGUGGGCCGACACGUUUACUUUGAACAAAUUAGAGUGCUUAAAGCAGGCUAAAAUUACGCCUGAAUAUUGUGUGCAUGGAAUAAUGGAAUAGGACCUCGGUUCUAUUUUGUUGGCUUUCGGAACCCCGAGGUAAUGAUUAAUAGGAACGGAUGGGGGCAUUCGUAUUGCGACGUUAGAGGUGAAAUUCUUGGAUCGUCGCAAGACGGACAGAAGCGAAAGCAUUUGCCAAAAACGUUUUCAUUGAUCAAGAACGAAAGUUAGAGGUUCGAAGGCGAUCAGAUACCGCCCUAGUUCUAACCAUAAACGAUGCCAGCUAGCGAUCCGCCGACGUUCCUCCGAUGACUCGGCGGGCAGCUUCCGGGAAACCAAAGCUUUUGGGUUCCGGGGGAAGUAUGGUUGCAAAGCUGAAACUUAAAGGAAUUGACGGAAGGGCACCACCAGGAGUGGAGCCUGCGGCUUAAUU
rnacentral:rRNA from 1 species